rnacentral:rRNA from 1 species
CAGCAGCCGCCGCGGUAAUACAGAGGGUGCAAGCGUUAAUCGGAAUUACUGGGCGUAAAGCGCGCGUAGGUGGUUUGUUAAGUUGGAUGUGAAAGCCCCGGGCUCAACCUGGGAACUGCAUCCAAAACUGGCAAGCUAGAGUACGGUAGAGGGUGGUGGAAUUUCCUGUGUAGCGGUGAAAUGCGUAGAUAUAGGAAGGAACACCAGUGGCGAAGGCGACCACCUGGACUGAUACUGACACUGAGGUGCGAAAGCGUGGGGAGCAAACAGGAUUAGAUACCCCCGUAGUCCCUGUCUCUUAUAC